rnacentral:rRNA from 1 species
GUCCACGCCUAACGAUGAUUACUCGACAUUAGCGAUACUACUGUUAGUGUCUAAGCGAAGCAUUAAGUAAUCCACCUGGGAAGUACGACCGCAAGGUUGAACUCAAGGAAUUGGCGGGUCCGGCACAAGUGGUGGAGCAUGUGGUUUAAUUCGAUGAUACGCGAGGAACCUUACCUGGGCUAGAAUGCAUUUUGACCGCAGGUGAAAGCCUGUUUGUAGCAAUACACAAUUUGUAAGGUGCUGCAUGGCUGUCGU